rnacentral:lncRNA from 1 species
CAAUUGGUUUUCUUUAAUACAACACAACAAAUACUUUAAUACACAUCUCUCUCUCUCUCUCUCUCUCUCUCUCUCUCAAAAUUUUUAGGCAUAGACUUCGUUUAGGAUUGUGGAAAGAUUACAUUACGUGCGGUGAGAAUUCGCCUGUAAUAUUGUGUUCCGCAUAUUGCGAUUAGUAAGUUAUGAUAUAUUUUCUGUGGUCCAUCGAAGAACGUAGAAUCAUAUUUCUAUAUGGUUUUUCUCAAUUUCAUUCUAUCUAAUAGCGUUAGAUCCACCUCAAUACCAAACUAAGGAAUCCUAUCUAACGCUAUUAAAUAAAAAAAAAAAAGAUAAAAGUAUGUGGAGAUAUGUUUCUGCGUUCUCCGAUAAAACCACAGAAAAUAUAUCAUAACCGACUCAUCACACUGCAAAAAAUAUAUCGUAACUGACUCAUCACGAUAUGCGAAACGUAAUAUUAUAUACGAAACAAACAAGAUAAGUCUUAAUAGAAGAAGAGAGGGAGCGAGAGAAAAGUGGGGACAGUGUGAGAGAUGAGACCACAAAAAAGAGUUGAAUUAAUUGCGGGAAAGGAAAUAAAGGGUGUAGGUAGAGAGAGGGAUUAGGAAGAGAUAUUGAAAUAAAUAUAAAUUGCAAUUAAUAAGUGAGG